CCUACGGGAGGCAGCAGUGAGGAAUAUUGGUCAAUGGACGCGAGCCUGAACCAGCCAAGCAGCGUGAAGGAUGACUGCCCUAUGGGUUGUAAACUUCUUUUAUAUGGGAAUAAAACAGGGUAUGCAUACCCUCUUGUAUGUACCAUAUGAAUAAGGAUCGGCUAACUCCGUGCCAGCAGCCGCGGUAAUACGGAGGAUCCGAGCGUUAUCCGGAUUUAUUGGGUUUAAAGGGAGCGUAGGUGGAUUGUUAAGUCAGUUGUGAAAGUUUGCGGCUCAACCGUAAAAUUGCAGUUGAAACUGGCAGUCUUGAGUACAGUAGAGGUAGGCGGAAUUCGUGGUGUAGCGGUGAAAUGCUUAGAUAUCACGAAGAACUCCGAUGGCGAAGGCAGCUCACUGGACUGCAACUGACACUGAUGCGCGAAAGUGUGGGUAUCAAACAGGAUUAGAUACCCUAGUAGUC
rnacentral:rRNA from 1 species